CCCUUAGAUGUUCUGGGCCGCACGCGCGCUACACUGAUGCAUUCAACGAGUCUAAAACCUGCUCUGAUAGGGGUGGGUAAUCUUUUGAAUGUGCAUCGUGAUUGGUAUAGAUGAUUGCAAUUUUUCAUCUUCAACGAGGAAUGCCUAGUAAACGCAAGUCAUCAGCUUGCAUUGAUUACGUCCCUGCCCUUUGUACACACCGCCCGUCGCUCCUACCGAUUGAAUGAUCCGAUGAAUAUCAUGGAUUGAGGAUGCAAGUAGGUUAGCCUAUCUUCAUCUUCGAGAAGUGAAGUAAAUCUUAUCAUUUAGAGGAAGGAGAAGUCGUAACA
rnacentral:rRNA from 1 species